UCUUGUUUCUGUAUUUUCAGUGAACUNAAAUAUAAUAUGCUGUAUUUUGUUCAAUUAGAACAAUAUAAUAUGGAAUGUUGUAACAUCCUUCAAGUAGAUCAAUGGAAUAUUUUUAUUAUUAUAUCCUCCAGUUGACCAAAUUUCUUGACACUGGACAACCAUAAACAUAGCAAACCAUGAUAAUUUUCCAGUCAAACAUAACACAAUAUUUACCAACAAAUGCAGGUGCACAAAACGCCCAUCAAAUUCAAGUGCAAUUACAUUGCUCCAGAUAAAAUCAUAUCCUAUCUUCUAAAUAGUCGGAAAACCAAAAUACUACAAAAUAAACUCCAACAUUUAUCAGAGAGAUUUGGCUUCUUCUAAACAGUUAGAAAAACAAAAUACGACAAAAUAAACUUCGACAUUUAUCAAAUAGAUUUGGUUGCUUCUGAACAACAUACAAAACAAAAUAUAUCCACAUUUUUAUCCCUGCAGAUGCUUUUGCAGCUUCUAAUCUCCAAGUCCCUCUUGGCUUCCAUGAACUUGUGAUUCCAUGAACUUUUGGUGCCUUUUGUUAUCUCCUUUUUUCCCCACAAAUAGAACACGUCAUGUACACAACACCUUUUUUUCUUACUUGUGAUUGUGAAUGUAUCUGUGACUGGGAUUGUCCAUCUUCAUCAGGUCCUUUUCUUCUCUCUCUUUUUUUUUUUUUUUUUUGCUUUCUUCCUACUAAAUUAACAUACCAGGGGAGAGGCAAGACAAGGGGAUGUACACAUUCAGGCCAUAACUCCUUACCAUUGAUGGGAUAUAUGACAUUCUCAUAUGUGCUCAUGUAGGUCUCAACCUUAUACCAGUCGGAGACAUAAUCUUUUAUCUCACGACCUAUAUCCAAAAUGCAAGCAAUGGCAUGUGGACAUGGAAUGCCAGAAAUCUACCAUCUCCUACAUGCACACGUUCUAUUAUCUAUGUCCACAACAAAUUCUCCAUACGAACACUCAACUUGAUAUUGGUUUAGCCCGUUCUAUCUCAAGAUACAUUCACGGGCUGCAUCACAGCACUUCUCCAACUUCUUUUGUAUUUUGGAACAUAUGGGUUUGUUGUAACUUCUUAACUGGUCCCUCUUCACCUGAAUUCUGUGCAUGAGUUUCAUCUGAACGCCUACCAACAUAUCUAUCAAUGAUUAUCCCUUUCUACCAAAAUAAAGUUGUUGAAGCAUUCAAGAGAUUAUUAAGGAGCAUUUCACACUUCGAUUGAUCUAAAAAAUGAGACCUACUCUAUUCGUUUGGCGACUUCUUUAUCAACCAUCCAUGUGCCUCCUUCUUCGCACUUUCAAUCUUAGCCAUCCAAUAUUUAAAAGAUGCUAAGUGACUAGAUUUUGCUGUACCCCACAAAUAGUCUUUCAAUUCCAUACCCUUAAAGUCACUCCUGAAGUAAUUCUGAUACAUAUGCCUAACACAAAAUCUAUGUUCGGCUUCCGGAAAUAAAUCAGCAAUAACAUUAAUCGAUCCCUUUUGUCUAUCACUGAUGAAGGUCACAAAUGGCCAAUUCUCCAUAGUAAGGUCUUCAGACAACAACAUCAAAAAUCACCUCCACGAACUAGUGCUCUCUCUCUCUACAAUCGCAUAUGCAAUCAGGUAAAUACAAUCAUUCGCAUCUACACCAACAGCUGCUAGCAGUUAACCACUAUAUUUUCCUCUCAAAAAACAUCCGUCAACACCAACAAAGCGUCUACACCCUUGUAAAAAAUCGUUCUUACAUGCCUCUAUACAGACAUAAAUACCCCUGAAAAUAUUAUCUACUUGAGAGAUAAGCACAGUUGAACCUACAUUUGUUCUCCUCAAUUCCGCAGCAUAGCACCCUAACAUCGCAAACUGGUUCUCAUUACUUCCCUUUACUAACAUUUUGGCGUAUUUUCUAGCAUUCGAAGCCACUCUCUUAGUGAUGUGCACUCCCAAAUCCUUUCUAACUGUAGCUCUGAUAUUUUUUGUCUUCCACUCAGGUUCGGAUCUGAAGUUAUUUAAAUAGUAGUUGGCCAACCAUUUAUAGGUUAGGUACUUAUUAGUACGUGCCUUAAAGCAAGUGUGCCUAGGGUCGUAUGUUUUGAUCUGGACCGUGUCUCGACCUUGUAUCUUCGAAGCCCACAACUUCCAUGGACAAUCAUUCUUGCAAACACAAUGCAAUCUAUUUUUCUCGUUGCGUUUGAAAGCUGGUUCAACUUGAUUGAAGACAUCAUAAUCCCUCACCACAGAUUUUAAUUCCUCAAAAUUCGCAAACAAUAACCCCACCUCAAGUUGAGGAUUCCUCUUUACACUACUAGCAAAAUAUUCUGGAAAAUUAGGUCUACCACUAUUCCCCUCUGAAUCCAAACCACUUAAGAAGUUUAACUUCUCUGACGAUGCAUACGAAGAGCUAUCUAAUUCUUGGCGUUCUUCGUGUUCCACAAUAUGCAUACCUAUUUCAAUGCCUUCGGUCACAUUACGAUCAAAUAGGCAAUCAUCAUCAUCAUAUACAUCGUAGUCCGAGUCAUUAAAAUCAGGGUCUUCAUCCACAAUCAUAAAAACAAAUACAUAAAUCCACAUAUCCAUAAAGUACAGAUAAACUAACUACAACAAAGGUUGAACCGUUCCAAUCCAACAGGCAAAAUAAACUACAGACAGAUGCAGGUUGUGAAUUUGGGACAAAAUGACUUUUAAUAUAGAUAAUGAUGAACAAGUUACAGGUUACUACUGGGGAUAAAAUGGCGUGCAAAUCUCCUUCAUUAAUAAAAUAAAAUAAAAAAACCCAAAUAAUAAGCAUUUCAAUGUUUGUGAGUCUAAAAAAAUCAACAAAUACCUGUAGAUUCAUGCUCAAAGCUAGCCAUGGUCACGAACUCAGUCAUGAACAGGUCACGAAAUUAGCCACUGACAGGUCCCGCUAUUUUGGAGUUUCUGGGCUCGCAAUUUUCCAGCUACUAUCUUCCAGUUUGGAGGCGCUGCUUGCCGGCGACGGUAAGAGGUAUGAGGAAUUCGAUAUUAGGGAAAAAAAAUAAGGAUUUGGGGUGUUUAAUUGAUGAAGAAUUGUCUGCCUUUUUUUUUCUGAGUUUUAAUUUUUUUUCCAAGUUUUAAAAAAGUUUUUUUUUUCCUCUUUGCAACUUAAAUUUUUUUUCCACCUCAAUAACAACUCUCUUAAUUGGCAAUGAAUUUGUGGACAACUUGCACAGGUCACCCUUCUGUUAGACAUGUGGCCAAAAUCGUCAAAUUUUACUAAUGGAAUGAAGUUGGUGAUGAAUGGGAUCCCAAAUGGCAAAGUUGAGUGACUAUCUAGA
rnacentral:lncRNA from 1 species